rnacentral:sRNA from 1 species
CAUUCAGGUGUGAACUCAAAAUCAUCAAUC